UUUCGGAAAGCAAAAGACUCUUCUUUUCAAAUCAUCAUUCAGCUUAGCUCGUUGGUACGUCCCCAACGUAUCGUUGUCCUGUUUAACCGCAUCUUUCAAGAAAAAGAAGACAGGCCUCUUGCAAUAAGAUUUGUAAGGAUCUCGGGUAUCCAUAUCGAACUCGUUCCUCUUAGUCUUACCAUUCCACGCCGAGUAGGUCUUCUCUGAGAGAUCAAGAACACGCGGAAGCACAAUGCCAGGGAACACCUGUACAACAUACCCAAUCGAGACAACAAAGGAAAGGUGGCGAACAUGGUCGUAGCAAAUCGAUCUCUGCAAGAAGCUAGUGGGAUCAAGACUCAUGGCCUUUGUGAAGAGCCUGAGACUCUCUAGCGUGGUUAGACCCGGGUAAAGUGGAUCAAUAGCUUCGAC
rnacentral:lncRNA from 1 species